rnacentral:rRNA from 1 species
UACGUAGGUGGCAAGCGUUGUCCGGAUUUACUGGGCGUAAAGGGCGUGCAGGCGGUUUUCUAAGUCUAGGGUGAAAGCUCCCGGCUUAACUGGGAGAGGUCCUUGGAUACUGGCAGACUUGAGGAGGGUAGAGGAGAGUGGAAUUCCCGGUGUAGUGGUGAUAUGCGUAGAUAUCGGGAGGAAAACCAGUGGCGAAGGCGGGUCUCUGGGCAGUAACUGACGCUGAGGAGCGAAAGCGUGGGGAGCGAACAGG